rnacentral:rRNA from 1 species
GACGAACGCUGGCGGCGUGCUUAACACAUGCAAGUCGAACGGAAAGGCCCUGCUUUUGUUGGGUUCUCGAGUGGCGAACGGGUGAGUAACACGUGAGUAACCUGCCCUUGACUUUGGGAUAACUUCAGGAAACUGGGGCUAAUACCGGAUAGGAGCUCCUGCUGCAUGGUGGGGGUUGGAAAGUUUCGGCGGUUGGGGAUGGACUCGCGGCUUAGCAGCUUGUUGGUGGGGUAGUGGCUUACCAAGGCUUUGACGGGUAGCCGGCCUGAGAGGGUGACCGGCCACAUUGGGACUGAGAUACGGCCCAGACUGCUACGGGAGGCAGCAGUGGGGAAUAUUGCAAAAUGGGCGGAAGCAGGAUGCAGCAACGCCGCGUGCGGGAUGACGGCCUUCGGGGUGUAAACCGCUUUCGCCUGUGACGAAGCGUGAGUGACGGUAAUGGGUAAAGAAGCACCGGCUAACUACGU